rnacentral:rRNA from 1 species
UACGAGGGGGGCAAGCGUUGUUCGGAAUUAUUGGGCGUAAAGGGCGCGUAGGCGGUGCGGUAAGUCACCUGUGAAAACUCUGGGCUCAACUCAGAGCCUGCAGGCGAAACUGCCGUGCUUGAGUGUGGGAGAGGUGCGUGGAAUUCCCGGUGUAGCGGUGAAAUGCGUAGAGAUGUGGAGGAACACCAGUGGCGAAGGCGACUCUUUGGCCUGUAACUGACGCUGAGGCGCGAAAGCGUGGGGAGCAAACAGG